rnacentral:lncRNA from 1 species
CGCACAUCCUUAACUAGGGCCUGUCAGGACUAACCCAUUUCGUCAUGUAUUCCUACUUAGGUCUUCACCAAAAGCCCAAGCCUCAUCCUUUAUCUCAUAACCCAAGUGCUUUGUACAUCCUCUAAUCUGAUCCAGUUCCUCUCCCUUCUCCUUCCACCUAAACCCAGAUUUUCACAUGGCUGCUUCCCUCUCAUUGUUCAGGUCUCACAUCAAAUAGCAUCUUCUCAAAGGCCUGUGCUCACUCUGCCAUCUAAGUAGGUUUUAUGUUACGCUCUAGUAUAGCACUAGUUACUUCAUUCACACCACUGUCACAAGUUGUAACUAUAAUUCAGUUUUUGGUUUACUUGUGUAGUACUCUUUGUUUACUUGUUUAUUAUCUAUCUUUCCAAAUUAGACAAUAAGGUCCAUAAAGUCAGCCAUAAUAUUCACGUUGCUUACCACUCUUACCCAAUGCCCAAGUCAGGCUCUAGCAUGGGCAUGUGCUCAGUUAAUCUAUGUUAGAUGAAGAAAACCUACUAAAGAAAUAAAUAGCUAACCAAAAAUUUAUGUAAGCAGAAACAUGGACUUUGUUCCAUUUCCAUGCUGCCACCUUCAAGCAGGUGAACACCAUCUCUUAAUUGAUUGGUUGAAACAACUUUUAACUGGUUGCCCAGCUUCUCCUGCUUCACCACUUCCUUCCCCUCUGAAUCUGCUCUCCACGUAGUAACAAAACUGAUUUAUAAAAAGUAAAUUUGAAAAAAAAUACGUAAUUUGAGACGUCUGCUUCCAAGAAAGAAAAAGUAGAUCUGCUUUAAGUACAACCAAAAACCCUGGACACUAUGCAUAAACAAACAUAGGAAGACUGAAAAGUGGAGAGAAGGCAAAACAAGCCAGGGACGUGGAGACCCAAGGAAUGACAGGGUGGUAAGGUUCCUGGGUUUCUUUUUGCCUCAUAUAUCCCAGAUUUGGAGUUGAAGAAGCUGGCAACCCAGAAACGCCAACUGACAGAAGCAAAAAGAGCCCAAACUAAACCCAUAUAGCCUUGGGGGUUUGAGAGGGAGAAGUACAGUUGGAAAUCAGAAAGGAAGGAGGAGCCAGAGAGGGAGAGUUUGUUAGUGAGGAGGAACAGCAUGCCCUGCAUUUUCCCUUUCUCUCCUUUACAGUCCAACUCACCUGCUCCUCUUCCUCCGGACUACGAGCUUUAGUAGUCUACACUCCAUGCCAAUUCUGACAGCAUCACCACCUGUCCCAACUCCACCACCAUCAGACAGGCACUGACGUCAGAAGAAAUCUGGAGACAGAGACAGUAUGGUCAACUAGGAAAAAUCAUGGAGUUUAGAGCCCAACAGUCCAGAGUCCUAAUUCUCUCUGUUUACCGCCAGAGACCUCUCUGAGCUCUUCUUCUGCAUCUGGAAAAUCAAGAUUCCCUGCUGGGAGAACCAUCAGAGAAACUGGAACACUUUUGUAUUAUUGAUUUAAAUGCCUAUCUCUACUUAACCGUAGACUGAAGUCAUUUAACCCCAGCAUCUGCCAGAGGCUGUGCCAGUCAGUGGAGAGGAAGAAAAGACGUCGUCUCUGCCUUACAGCAGACGUACAGGAAUAACCACAUCCAGUGGGAGCAAGGCCAAAGCAGAAGCCUGCAGAGCGGACUGUGAGGACGAGCUGGAGGGGGAUGCAGACAAGCUUUUGGAGAGGCGGUCACCUAGAGCUGAGCCUUGGAAGGGGGAUGAGAGAAGCAGCAGAUUCCAGGCAAAAGCAACAACCAAUACUAGCAACAGGAAAAAACAGCUCAGUAUGGAAAAUAAUUGACAUGGCUAGACUUUGCGAUUCAUUCCAUGUGAUGGCUACUCAAUAAACUGCUGGUUAAUUGAUUACCUAGCUAAUCAAUCUGGAGGAAACAGGCUAUAAAAACAGACAAAAGUCAGUUCACGAAGGGGUUCAUAGGCCUACUCAAAGAAUUUAGAUUUUAUUCUCUAAACUAGGAGUUGAAAAUGCAAAUAUCUAUAGGGAUCUUAUAAGAAAUGUGAAUAAGUAAGGUGGGCCAGGUGUAAAAGAAAUAGUAAUUAUGAGGGUUAUACACGAAGUACCUCCUCCAGGUACCAUGUAUGGUACUGUCAACACAUAGAUGUCUAAUAUAUGAUCCUGGCCCUUAGACUGCACACAUAAGUAAGUACUCACAAUAUAACGUGAUGAUUGCCCCCAUUCAUGUACCAAAUACAGUGGGACCAUAGAGGAGGGCCUUACUUAAUUCAAUCUCAGGAAAUCAGGAAGGUGUUACUGAUGAAAUUAUAUUUGAGAUGGACUUGAGGGAUGAGAAGGAGCUCAUCUCUCUUUUCCAGCUACCCCUGAACUUCCUUCAAUCCAAUCAGGUUGGUUUCCCCACUGUCCCACAACACCCCACUCUCGGCUAUGUCCUCUCAAGUCUUUGACUUUGCCUAGUGUGCCCUGCCGCUCUCCCUUAAUUAUGCAAUUCCUACUAACUCUUAAAGGCACAAUGCAGGCCUUCCUCAUGCACAAAAUCCAUGAAGACUUCCCAGGUAUCAAAUCUUCAUUGGUCUAAGAGGCAAGACGCUAUUGGGAGGCUGGAAGACCUUUAGGACACAACAGAGUGCAGAGGCGCUCAGAGAAGGGUGUCUCAUUGUGUGUGGUGAGAAGCUUACUAGUUUGGGAGUCAAGGACUCACUGGCUCUCUGAUUACAGGCAGAUGUUUUAGCCUCUGUUUUCCUCAGUGUCUUAACUCUAAAGUGGAGGCUGAUCCUCAUGAUCAUUUUGGUCCCCUUCAGUUCUAAGAUUAUAACUGUGAUUUUGUGAAGGAAUUUGUUCUCAUUGUUAUACUUCCAGUAGGAUUUCCACACACACUUUCAAAAUUGUCCUUAUGUAACAUGACGAGUGGAAAACCACUAAUCAGUGGCAGCAGUAUUGAAGAGAGUCUUCUCUGUGCCGUUCCAAAUGCCAUCUACUUCCUCCCUGGAUUUAGGAAUUGCAUAGUCACACGUUCACUGAAAUAAAGUUGGCUGUCCUGUUGCCCUGUUACUACUUUGGUCACCUCCUGUUAUCCUAAGAAUAGAUCACUUAUGGUUCUUUCUUUGGACUCUUACAAUUUCACGGCGGUGAGAAAAUAGAGCACAGGUGGAAUACAAAUCCUGGAAUAUCAAGAUUACAGAAAAACUACCUAUGGAAAACAAGAUACAUGAGUUAAGGAAUCUAUGAAACUAUACCAAAAUAAUAAUUAGAAUGAGUUGUUUUUUAUUUUAUCUUAGUUAUUAUAAAUUAUUGAGAAAAAUCAUUUGCAUUUUAUCAGCUUUUAUUAUACAAAUUCAGUCUGCCUCAUGCCAACUCGCUGUAUUAGUUGUACUUUUGGUUAUAAGCAAAAGAACCAACUCUGGCCAGAUUUAAGAAAACGGCAAGUCUAUUGAAAGAACACUAGGGUAUCGCAUGAACCACAAGGAAAAG